rnacentral:rRNA from 1 species
AGCGCAGGCGGUUUCUUAAGUCUGAUGUGAAAGCCUUCGGCUCAACCGAAGAAGUGCAUCGGAAACUGGGAAACUUGAGUGCAGAAGAGGACAGUGGGACUCCAUGUGUAGCGGUGAAAUGCGUAGAUAUAUGGAAGAACACCAGUGGCGAAGGCGGCUGUCUGGUCUGUAACUGACGCUGAGGCUCGAAAGCAUGGGUAGCAAACA